ensembl:snRNA U6 U6 spliceosomal RNA
GGGCUCGCUUCGGCAGCACAUAUACUAAAACUGGAACGAUACAGAGAAGAUUAGCAUGGCCCCAGAACAAGGAUGACAUUCAAAUUCGUGAAGCAUUCCAUAUUUUU